rnacentral:rRNA from 1 species
GAUGAACGCUAGCUACAGGCUUAACACAUGCAAGUCGAGGGGUAACGAGAGGAAAGCUUGCUUUCCUUGUCGACGACAGGCGUACGGGUGAGUGACGCGUAUACAACCUGCCACCAACUCAGGAAUAACGUUGCGACAGUAAGAAUAAUACCUUAUAAUCUCAUCAGCUGUCAGAUGAGCAGGACUAAAGAUUUAUCGGUUGUGGAUGGUGAUGAGUCUGAUUAGCUUGUUGGAGGGGUAACGGGCUAACAAGGCAACGAGCAGUAGGGGUUCUGGGAGGAAGGUCCCCCACAUUGGAACGGAGACGCGGACCUAAGGCCUACGGGAGGCAGCAGUGAAGAAUGUUGGUCAAUGGGCGAAAGCCUGAACCAGCCAAGGAGAGUGCGGUGAAACGGCCCUAUGGGUAGUAAACUGCAUUUAUACAUGAAAAAAGUUAGCCACGUGUGGUUAUGUGUAGGUACUGGAUGAAUAAGGACCGGCUAAUUCCGUGCCAGCAGCCGCGGUAA